rnacentral:rRNA from 1 species
UGGGGAAUUUUGGACAAUGGGCGAAAGCCUGAUCCAGCAAUGCCGCGUGUGUGAAGAAGGCCUUCGGGUUGUAAAGCACUUUUGUCCGGAAAGAAAUCCUUGGCUCUAAUACAGUCGGGGGAUGACGGUACCGGAAGAAUAAGCACCGGCUAACUACGUGCCAGCAGCCGCGGUAAUACGUAGGGUGCAAGCGUUAAUCGGAAUUACUGGGCGUAAAGCGUGCGCAGGCGGUUUGCUAAGACCGAUGUGAAAUCCCCGGGCUCAACCUGGGAACUGGCAAUUGGUGACUGGCAGGCUAGAGUAUGGCAGAGGGGGGUAGAAUUCCACGUGUAGCAGUGAAAUGCGUAGAGAUGUGGAGGAAUACCGAUGGCG